GUUUCUGUGGCGCAAUCGGUUAGCGCGUUCGGCUGUUAACCGAAAGGUUGAUGGUUAAAUCCAUCCAGAAACG
rnacentral:tRNA from 1 species